UAAAAAGCUCGUAGUUGGAUUUCUGGUGGGAGCACGGGUCGGCCUUCACGGGUUGUACUGUUGUUGCGUCCUGCCGUUUCGGAAGGAAUGGUCAUGUUAUUAGGUUAGCGUGAUCGGAAACUCUGUCGUUUACUGUGAAAAAAUUAGAGUGUUCAAAGCAGGCCUUCGCUGUGAAUACAUUAGCAUGGAAUAAUGGAAUAGGACGCUGGUUCUAUUUUGUUGGUUUUGAGAACCAGAGUAAUGAUUAAUAGGGACAGUUGGGGGCAUUCAUAUUUCAUUGUCAGAGGUGAAAUUCUUGGAUUUAUGAAAGAUGAACUUCUGCGAAAGCAUUUGCCAAGGAUGUUUUCAUUAAUCAAGAACGAAAGUUAGGGGAUCGAAGACGAUCAGAUACCGUCGUAGUCUUAACCAUAAACUAUGCCGACUAGGGAUUGGGCGUGGUUUGUUCAUUGACCCGCUCAGCACCUUACGAGAAAUCAAAGUCUUUGGGUUCCGGGGGGAGUAUGGUCGCAAGGCUGAAACUUAAAGGAAUUGACGGAGGGGCACCACCAGGAGUGGAGCCUGCGGCUUAAUUUGACUCAACACGGGAAAACUCACCAGGUCCAGACAUA
rnacentral:rRNA from 1 species